GUCGUGAAAAUCGUACUUUGUCAUAAAGUGAUCAUUCGCAGCUUUUCUCAGUGAAAUUCGAAUUUGAUUUCAUUACACGUGUUUAAGAUGGCAGUGAACGUUAUCGGUGUAUGUUUGACGUUAUCGUGCAUUUUUCAAUGCGCAUUGGGUGACUUGCAAAUAACUGCAGAGCAAUUCGCUCAAUUUCAAGGGACGGAUCCCACAAAAUUUUGCGGAUGCAAACAAAGUAUGGAAAAGUUUUGUAAUACAAUAGCCAAGAAAGAUAUCUCGAACUAUAACGAUGCAACAGGGCCCUUCAGGAAGGGUUAUCCAGUAUGCCUGCCGCACGCAAAGGUUCAAGUGGUAACAAAAUGCGGUAAAGGUACAGAUUUGAUUCAAAUCCAAGUACUCGUUUGUUCAUGGGCAAAAAAAGAGUUUUAUCUCACUUAUGGUAAAGGGCAGACGCCAAAUAACGUGAUGGUUUACGCUGUUGCCAAAGCUGGUGGUUCUUGUACUUUUUUGUACGAGUUACCUUACAACAGCAAUUGACAAAGAAGAGGAAAGUGAAAACUCCGAAGAGAAAAUCACUCGAAAAUUUUUUGAUUGUGAAUGUUUCUUCUUGUAUUUUGUUAUGUACCUAAAUUGAUAUUAAAGCUGCAUAAUUAUUGA